rnacentral:lncRNA from 1 species
AAGAACUUUGGUCGCAGUGGUCGAACCAAGUGGACCCACCUGUUGGCGGAGGAUACCACACAGGUGGGUGGGGGGUGAUUUGCAGGUAGCUUGGGGGGUUAGGAGCGGAGGAACAGAGAAACGGGGUCCAAACCGGGUCCUUUCUGACGUUGCGCGGUGUGUGGCGGGGUGGGGUCUGGGUUACGGAUCAAAAUGAGUACGACAGGUUCUCGGGGUGUCGGACCCAGUCGCCCAGGUAGGAACCUGUUCCCUUACCCUCCCGCCCCUCUCCGGCCUUUCCGUCUGGAUAUGGUCAUCAGGUGGAGGACGACCUGUAUUCAGCUGUCAAGGACUCUAUUGUGCGACGCCGCAACGAGGCUCUAGCGGGAGCGCAGGUGUUCACCAAGCCAAAGAAGUUCAAGCGGUGAAGAGGAGAACGGUUCCCUUCUCGCUCUCUCUUAUCUUUUCCUCGCGGCGACCGUGUACGUGCCGUCGUCUUUUCCGCGUUGCUUUGUUCUGGGUCGCUUUCGUCUUUUUACGUUGUCGCCAUCGUCGGUUCUUUAUGUUAUGUUGAUGUUGUUACAGGGUGGUUAAGCUUCACCAGUGGCCUCCUUCCCGAGGCAAUUCCCUGCUCUCCCCUGCUAGAGGGGCACCCUAAUCCAUUCACCCCAUCCGACUUCAGUUAUGUUGUUUUCCGAACCCAGUGCAGGACACGCCAUACCGCAUUUGAAGUGUUCCCGCUAGCUAAUAGCUGCUUGAGGGAUUAUCAAUACAGCGGAUUGCAAUGGGUCACCUCCUCCACAUGUACUAGGCUAGGGGUUUGCCGACAUGCAUAUUGGCAUCAUGGCAGGUGGCUGGCAGAAAUGAAGGCCUGACUUCUGCUCCCGGAGGUUCCGGGUUCAAAUCCGCCUGCCGAACCUCGUGGUGUGGGGGUAAUUGAAUUGGGAGGUGGCCCCAUCUUGUGGACGGUGUAGGACAUGAUUAUAGCAAUUUGCGAGCUGACCAGGAACUAAGUUGAUGCGCCGUUGAUCCGCUAGAUUUGGUUGGAUGCUGGUGGUGAGUUGCUGAACCCAACGAAUACAUUCUGAAGCCGGAUGGGGUGAUUGGAUUAGGGUGCCCCUCUAGCAGGGGAGAGCAGGGCAUUGCCUCGGGAAGGAGGCCACUGGUGAAGGUAUACCACCCUGUAACAUCAUAUUGCGGGGCACACCGGUAAACGCUUCCUUCGACGCAAACCCCGUGGGGGUUCUGGAAGCCUUAACCACUGCGGUUACUGCUGUCGUUGGCCGGACAAAGAUUGACCAUGCCGCGUCCACCGAAGGAAAGUCUUACCAGCGGAAAGGGUGUAAACAGCAGUGUUGGUUGUGGGGUGCUGCGGCGGUGGUGUUUGGCCCAGUGCGUUCAUGCCGUUAGAGUUGGUCGGGGUUUGGCUGCUCCGUGCGGCGUGUACAAGGCGAUGUGUGUUGGUAACUGCGUUAUGGAGUCGUAUGCACCUGUGUUGUGGGGGUAUUCGGUAAGGUAUUCGGGUCUUUCUGAUUCACGACCACGGCAUUUUGUACAUGUCCUCAACCCAGAUCAAAUGAAGCUGAAGCCGGGGGAAGUGAGUGCGAGGGAAAGGGAGCGGUGAACAAAAGGGACCGGCGAAAUGUUUUUCCAAUCUAAGAGACGGGGAUCGAGGGGAGAGUGGGAUAGGGAGAGAGGGAUACGCAUCGUGUGAGCGUUAAGGCCUCUCUGUGAGGCGUUAGGGAUGGCGGUGACACCCGCUUAAGUGGUGGAGUCGAGGGUUGGUAGGAUUGGAUAUUCCUCGGCGUCGCCUAUACUGUUAUCCCGGGGACCAAGGAUGAGUAUAGGCAGCUGGCAAGCCCCGAGCGCUGGUAUCUGUAACACUCGACUUAUGUAAAGGUGGCGUGAUUUAGCAGAGGUAGAGGGCGUUGCAAAUGCAAGUGGAGCCAAAGACGCUACGAUCUGAAGUAGAGGUCAUGAUAAAGAGCGAUCAAUAUGUAUUUUUGGCUUGGAAUUCAGGAUUGUGAAUGGCUUGCCUCAACCUAUGCAAAAGAUCUG